GCUGUCACUAGGCUUCAUUUCUGUCUACUUAAACUGCUCAGCAGAGGGAGUGUAGAACCCACUGCUGGAAAAUCAGAAAUGAUAUUUGAGAAUCACUUUUAAGAAUCACUAAAAUCAAAUGAUAUGCCCAAGACCUAACCUGCACCAGAAGAAAAUCUGUCUGAACAAAACAGGCAAGAGGUUUUUCAUGUAACCAAGCACUGCUGAAUCUGGAAAGGUGGAAAAGGAAGUUGACCAUGAAAGGACCUCCAGAUGAGAAUUUCUCUCUACUUCACACGUUUAAUUUCUGUAAAACUUUGUCGUCAUUGACCCCUGCUUUUCAGUGAAAGCCCUAAAAGCCCUACAUCUGCCAAGAAUUCUACUACAAACCUGUGUGCAAAUGCAAACUUCUGUUGCCAGAGACAGUCAACAGCAUUCACAGCAAGUUCAGCAAGUACAUGCAGGCAUCACUUUGUGAGGAAUCUGUUGUACGAAAUCCUCUGUUCUUCUUCAUGAGGAGUCUGUUGCCAGAAAACCCGUUCUCAUGGUUUUCGGUUCCUCUUUUAUCCUUCUUGUUCUCCUGCCGAUGUGACAAGGAUGGGUCUUGACCAAGAGUCAUUGAGUACCCCCUGAGAUGGCCAUCAUCCUGAGCAAGUAAGUGCAGAAGAGAGGAUGCUUCACUCCACAUAACAACUUCAUCACAGAUUUUCAAAACCCAAGAGUCCUAAUGUCUUCGGAAAGAAAAGAGGCUAUACAGAUUCUAGCUAACACUUUCUUUUGAGAUUGUUUCAUCUAUCAGCAUCCUUUUGAGAAGUAUGUUCCCAGAAUGACUUAGAAUGACAUAGAGCAUAUGAUGGACUUUUUGUCAUCAACACCUGUCAGUUUUAGUAUCUUUUCAGGGAACAAACCAAGCACUUAGC